rnacentral:rRNA from 1 species
UACGUAGGGACCGAGCGUUGUCCGGAUUCAUUGGGCGUAAAGAGCUCGUAGGCGGCCACUCAAGUCGAAUGUGAAACCUCGAGGCUUAACCUCGAGCCUGCAUUCGAUACUGCCGUGCUUGAGGACUGGAGAGGAGACUGGAAUUUACGGUGUAGCGGUGAAAUGCGUAGAUAUCGUAAGGAAGACCAGUGGCGAAGGCGGGUCUCUGGACAGUUCCUGACGCUGAGGCACGAAAGCAUGGGGAGCAAACAGG